UGUCGAAAAAGUUAGUGGGGA
rnacentral:piRNA from 1 species